rnacentral:tRNA from 1 species
GCCACCUUAGCUCAGUUGGUAGAGCAGCACUUUCGUAAAGUGAAGGUCCCGAGUUCGAAUCCCGGAGGUGGCU